GACGAACGCUGGCGGCGUGCUUAACACAUGCAAGUCGAACGGAAAGGCCCUGCUUUUGUGGGGUGCUCGAGUGGCGAACGGGUGAGUAACACGUGAGUAACCUGCCUUUGACUUUGGGAUAACUUCAGGAAACUGGGGCUAAUACCGGAUAGGAGCUCCUGCUGCAUGGUGGGGGUUGGAAAGUUUCGGCGGUUGGGGAUGGACUCGCGGCUUAUCAGCUUGUUGGUGGGGUAGUGGCUUACCAAGGCUUUGACGGGUAGCCGGCCUGAGAGGGUGACCGGCCACAUUGGGACUGAGAUACGGCCCAGACUCCUACGGGAGGCAGCAGUGGGGAAUAUUGCACAAUGGGCGGAAGCCUGAUGCAGAAACGCCGCGUGCGUGAUGACGGCCUUCGGGUUGUAAACCGCUUUCGCCUGUGACGAAGCGUGAGUGACGGUAAUGGGUAAAGAAGCACCGGCUAACUACGUG
rnacentral:rRNA from 1 species